rnacentral:rRNA from 1 species
CCGCAUGAUUAAAGGUAUUUUCCGGUAGACGAUGGGGAUGCGUUCCAUUAGAUAGUAGGCGGGGUAACGGCCCACCUAGUCAACGAUGGAUAGGGGUUCUGAGAGGAAGGUCCCCCACAUUGGAACUGAGACACGGUCCAAACUCCUACGGGAGGCAGCAGUGAGGAAUAUUGGUCAAUGGGCGAUGGCCUGAACCAGCCAAGUAGCGUGAAGGAUGACUGCCCUAUGGGUUGUAAACUUCUUUUAUAAAGGAAUAAAGUCGGGUAUGCAUACCCGUUUGCAUGUACUUUAUGAAUAAGGAUCGGCUAACUCCGUGCCAGCAGCCGCGGUAAUACGGAGGAUCCGAGCGUUAUCCGGAUUUAUUGGGUUUAAAGGGAGCGUAGAUGGAUGUUUAAGUCAGUUGUGAAAGUUUGCGGCUCAACCGUAAAAUUGCAGUUGAUACUGGAUGUCUUGAGUGCAGUUGAGGCAGGCGGAAUUCGUGGUGUAGCGGUGAAAUGCUUAGAUAUCACGAAGAACUCCGAUUGCGAAGGCAGCCUGCUAAGCUGCAACUGACAUUGAGGCUCGAAAGUGUGGGUAUCAAACAGGAUUAGAUACCCUGGUAGUCCACACGGUAAACGAUGAAUACUCGCUGUUUGCGAUAUACGGCAAGCGGCCAAGCGAAAGCGUUAAGUAUUCCACCUGGGGAGUACGCCGGCAACGGUGAAACUCAAAGGAAUUGACGGGGG